rnacentral:rRNA from 1 species
GACGAACGUUGGCGGCGUGCUUAAUACAUGCAAGUCCACUGAAGCAGUGGUAGCAAUAUCGCUGUGGAGGUGGCGCACGGGUGAGUAACACGUAGGUAAUCUGCCUUCAGGUCUGGCAUAACUCCGGGAAACCGGGGCUAAUAGCAGAUGAUGCAGCGGCUCGACAUCGAGACAGUUGUUAAAGCUAUGGCGCCUGAAGAUGAGCCUGCGUCUGAUUAGCUAGUUGUCGGGGUAACGGCCCACCAAGGCAACGAUCAGUAGCUGGUCUGAGAGGAUGAUCAGCCACACUGGAACUGAGACACGGUCCAGACUCCUACGGGAGGCAGCAGUAAGGAAUAUUGCUCAAUGGGAGAAAUCCUGAAGCAGCAACGCCGCGUGAGGGACGAAGGGCUUUUGCUUGUAAACCUCUGUAGUGAGAGAAAAAAAUCCCAAUCUUUGGGACAUGAUGGUAUGUCAAAAGUAAGCCCCGGCUAACUACGUG